GCAGAAGUGACGGAGUCGGUUUAUCGUGAUGGAUUGUAAAUUCAUUGGUUUUUACCAUCGGGAGUUCAAAUCUCUCCUUCUGUA
rnacentral:tRNA from 1 species